rnacentral:tRNA from 1 species
GGUGCGGCUCAGUGGUAAUGCACUUGCCCAGCAUGCAUAAGGCCCUGGGUUCCAUCCCCAGCACCA